UACAGAGGUGGCAAGCGUUGUUCGGAAUUACUGGGCGUAAAGGGCGCGUAGGCGGUUCGUUAAGUCCUGUGUGAAAGCCCUCGGCUUAACUGAGGAAGUGCACCCGAAACUGAGUAGCUAGAGUACGAAAGAGGGUCGCGGAAUUCCCGGUGUAGAGGUGAAAUGCGUAGAUAUCGUGAGGAACACCAGAGGCGAAGGCGGCUACCUGGACAAUUGCUGACGCUCAGGCACGAAAGCGUGGGGAGCAAAAGGG
rnacentral:rRNA from 1 species